AGCAAUAUGCCUGAAAGUGGCGAACGGGUGAGUAACACGUAGAUGACCCGCCCUGGAGUGGGGGAUAACCAUUGGAAACGGUGGCUAAUACCGCAUACAUCCAUAUUUCUGGGAAGAGAUGUGGGGAAAGCUCUGGUGCUCUGGGAGGGGUCUGCGUCCGAUUAGCUAGUUGGUGAGGUAAAGGCUCACCAAGGCGACGAUCGGUAGCUGGUCUGAGAGGACGAUCAGCCACACGGGAACUGAGACACGGUCCCGACUCCUACGGGGGGCAGCAGUGAGGAAUAUUGGGCAAUGGGCGAGAGCCUGACCC
rnacentral:rRNA from 1 species